AAGUCGUAACAAGGUUUCCGUAGGUGAACCUGCGGAAGGAUCAUUAAUGAAUAAAAAUGUCGGUCGAUUGUGCUGGCACAACCACGCAUGUGCACGUCGAUCGGCAAAUUCAUCCACACACCUUGUGCACACCUAGACCGCAGAGUCGUUCGUCGGGACUUUUGGGUCCCCUGGCUUGAGCAACUCUGCUGGUACUUUUUUCACACACUCGUAUGUGAUUGGGAUGUCAAAGUGCUCUUAAGCACAAUAAACUAAAAAAAACAACUUUCAACAACGGAUCUCUUGGCUCUC
rnacentral:misc_RNA from 1 species